ensembl:lncRNA
UCUCACAGUAGAACAUGAGGAAACAAACUCUACAGCACCUGUGAAGGUGACACAUCUUUUUAAUGUGCUGGUAUCAUCAAACACACAUUGAAAUGUAGGUGACCAAUCCAUGCCUAAGUUAAAUUCCCAGAAAUAUCCACACCCAUUAAUAUGUCAUCAUUCUAUCAUGCCCUGUCACUCUGAUAUACACAACAAAAUCCCCAUGUAAAUACAGAUGUUAUAUGUACUGGUAAGCGUGUAUACCGUGGACUGAAAUAAUACCUGUAUAGGUGUAAUCAAUAAAACUGUUAAACUCUGAGGUGCUCUAAAAUCCCUUCUAGGAAUGUUCAGCAUUCUUCAAAAUGAUGAAUAAAAUCUAUCCAAAGGCUGCAUCAUAUUGAUCUUCCAUAUCACAGGGAACAUUUAAAUGGUGCUUUUUCAUUUUUCUUUCAUAACAGAAAACAGUUUUCAGGCAAUUGUUCAGCUUUUAUCCUGACCAGGGAUUCCCACUUCUUACUGUUCCCUGUUUCAGAUAAUUUUCUGCUGUUGGAACAGUCAAUAGGUUUGUUUAAAUGUUUGUUGCAAUGCUAUAUUUUUCAUUAUUUCCAAAAAUAAUGUUUCCUUUGAGUUCUCUCCAACAAUGUUUUCUGGCUCUACUGAUAUUCCAUAAGCUUCAUAUUAUAUUUUGUGCAGUGGAAACAUAACAGUGUUAUUUCCUUUUUUUCCUUGUUAAAUUUUCUGGUGAAACUCUGUGGAAACAAGAGGCUACUGUGCAACAAGAGCUCCAGGGACCCUGUAGAGCAAGUUGUAUGAGGAAGAGUUACAUGGGAGGUGGAAUUCUGACAUUGUGAUCAGAAGUUGGCAGCUAACCCAAGCCUUUGUGGUAUGGUCUAUCCCAAGAAACCCACAGGCACAACAUUUGUUUCUAGCGUGGUGCUAUAUAGAAACAAUAUUAGUUAUGACAAAUAUAGUAAGUUUUCAGAGGAAGUGACAUUUAAGUAAGAUUUUUGCCAUUUUUCAGAAAUGCUACAGCUCAUAAAUAUUAAUUUAAACAGCAAAAAAGAGAGGAAUUCCACACAAGUUUUUAAGAGAUUAGAAUAGGUAGCAGCAAGUGCCAUAAUUCUCAAAUUUUACAUGCUACAGCCCCAUUUUAUGAUGACAACAGAGCAGUUGCAGAUUCUGCAGAGGUCGUGUAUCUGCCUCUGUCCCCAGACACAGUGAUGUCUCUGUCAAGCUUUUGCAGUUAUAUACUUCAGUCUGUAAAUCC